GGACACCUUUUCUCCCAGAAAGAUGUUGUUUCCUAGAGAUGAUGCAGAUAUGCUUUUUGAUGACCGAGACAGGAGAUCUGGACUUCAGACGAGGCAGUGGGGUGACAUUGAGUUCACAAACAGAUAUGCUGAACUUCUGAAAUCCAAAGCUAAAAUCACAUCCAUCUGCGCCCUCCUGAAACGCAUGCAAAGCAGCAAGAAAAGCGGCGUCGGUGGAGAAACAGACAGACUGAUUUCCCUGAUGAGACUGUAUUCAUGUCCAAACGUGUACCAGUGAAGACUGUGACUUCAUGUCCAAGAAACCUGCAUGAAGACAACAACUUCACAAUGUCUGAAUCAGUUUUAACAUGUUUGAGACAAACUGUUUGUAUAUAUUUGAAUCCAAUUGUGUCUCAUAAAACUGCAGAUUCAGUAGCAUCUCAGAUGCAAAAUAAACUCUGGACUUAAGAAUAGCGUCUUGUCUUU
ensembl:lncRNA